UUUAACUGAAGAGUUUGAUCAUGGCUCAGAUUGAACGCUGGCGGCAGGCUUAACACAUGCAAGUCGAGCGGGGGAAGGUAGCUUGCUACCGGACCUAGCGGCGGACGGGUGAGUAAUGCUUAGGAAUCUGCCUAUUAGUGGGGGACAACAUCUCGAAAGGGAUGCUAAUACCGCAUACGUCCUACGGGAGAAAGCAGGGGAUCUU
rnacentral:rRNA from 1 species